UCCUCAGUUGGUACAGCAUGAGUCUCUUAAUCUCAAAGUCAUGGGUUCAAGCCCCACACAGGAAAA